rnacentral:misc_RNA from 1 species
UUAUGAUCCAAUUGGGGUAAGUUAUCUAAGCUAUCCAGUUGCAGAAAACUAAAUCUGUAUGGUCGCAUAGAAUCGCAUCCCAGACCUCAUCCAGUCGAAUCCUUCAACGAAGCAAAGCGCUUCACUUGCUUCACAGAUAAUAGAUCUCGCACUUCUUUAAUAAUUUGGAGAGAGAUAUAGAGAAGAAAAAAUGAUGAUGAUUGAUACAGCCACUGCCGUUCGAUUUCCCGCCGGCGCAAAUGUUUGCUCCUCCACUGCCAUAUCUCGUGACUCUCUCCCUCUGUUCCCGCUAUACAAUUUCUACAUUUUUUUAAUUUUUGUGUUCUUUCAGUUCAUAAAGAGCUUUAGAACUUGGUUCAAAGGCUCAACCAAGCUUCGUUUGAUAGUUUUACUGGAAUUUCAUGCAUUUUCUCAACCAACAGAGAAUAACACUUUUGUCGUUGUAGAUUAUCGUCAUACGUGGAACUUGGAGGAAGUUAACGCCCUCCACAUCAGUUCUCGCCCGCUUAUUCGUUCUGGCAGCUUCACCGUACCUUGGUACUGAUUGCUGAAUUUACUUUUUAGUUUUUUUAAUUGUAAAUGCCAAGCUAAAUUGAGAGUUUCAGCUUGGAAUCUUCAUUAUCUACUAAAGAAAUUGUGAAACAUAGAGAAAAUUUUCACUGCUGGUGUAGUGCUAGCACUUUUAAUUAGUGUUGAAAGGUGAAGGAUUUUAACGCGUUGAAUCUUGUACUUUUAAUCAUCUUUGAAGACGUGAAAACCUAAACUUGAAAGAUUAAACGAGUAGUUAUGGAAACUAAUACAGGAGUAAGUCUCGGAGAUUAAAUGGUGGUGCUUUUUUAAGGAGCAGUCUUUUAAAGAAUAGGAUUCGAGCAUCUUCAGAGCAUUUAGGCUCGGCCUCGGGUCCCUCAAAGCCGAAGGACGGCAGACAGCGAUACCAUCCCUUUGAGGAGAUUGCAGAGUCAGCUUCAGAAAAUAAUGGAGAUGCAAUGCUCACACCUCAAGAGACUGCUAGGACCAUUGUUGAGGUAUCAUUUUGGAUUUAUUAACCAAAUAUACUUUUCGUUUGAGAUUAAUCUGAGACCCAUUAGAAUGUUACUGGGAUGAUUCUGCUUAUGUAUUGGCUCAUCCUUUGUGUAAGUUUGGAUAGCUAAUGUUGCCUGUAGAGUGUUACAUUCAGGUCAACAGCAAAGCAAUUCUAAUGCUGACUGGUUUGAUCAAUGGUGAUAUUCAUGAGAAUAUUGUUUGGCCAGACUUGCCUUAUGUUACUGAUGAACAAGGAAGUACGUCCAGUAUUUGAAGUUCAUUUUUCCCAUCCUUAUUUAUUUUACUCUGGGAAUCUAAGCCUUCAUUUGUGCAAUUGAAAGAUUUAAUCUUCUCUAAUGUGUCGCAGACAUAUACUUUCAAGUGAAGAAUGAUGAAGACAUUUUGCAAACCCUUACUUCAGAAAAUAAUUUUGUGGUAUGAGAUAUCUCUUCUCAUGGCAGUGCGUUUGCAUGCACGCACGCAUGGGAAUAAACAUAAACAUGCACAUAUCAUGUUGGUCUUUAAAUUGUAAAGAAAACCUUCUUUUUUGGUUUUUGACGGAAGGUGGAUGUAUAAUCAAUUUCAUUGGGCCUUGAACCUUUUCAUGAGACGAUAUAAAAAUGAAAAUGCAUUUUAUUUCGGGCUUAAAGAGGAGCAAAAAUGGACAAUUUUUUGGUAACUUGAACAUGCUGUUAUGUACUACAAAUACAAUGGUGGCAUUUCAGUGUUCUUUAUUUUCAUGAUAGUUUCUUAAGAUCUGUGCACUUUUAUGCUUGAUGCAGCAAACCAUUAUAGGCUUUGAUGCCAUGGAAAUGAUCAGUGAGAUGGAGUUAGUAGGUUCAUCAGAAAUUGAUUUUGGAAUUGAGGAAAUUGAAGAAGAGGAUGGUGAUGUUGAAGAUGAUGAGGAUGAAGAUGAGGAUGAUGGAGAUGAAGAUUAUGAUGAGGACCUGGUAGCUGCUAUUGAAGAUGAAGAUGAUUCUGAUGAGGCACUUGGUGACUGGGCAAAAUUGGAGACUAUGUGUUCUUCUCAUCCAAUGUAUUUUGCAAAAAAGAUUGCACAGGUUGCACUAGAUGAUCCUAUAGAUUGGAUGGAGCAGCCUCCGGCUGGUUUAGCUAUCCAGGGCCUCAUAAGACCUGCCUUCAUUGAAGAACACCCUGACAUCCAGAGGCAUGUGUCUGGCAACCAGUCACGUCAUGCUGACAUAAAUGAGGUUGGGAAAAAUUUAGAUGACAGACCAGAUCUUGGUGGGAUCAAUGGUCACAAACAUGAACCAGGAUCAUCUGAAGAUAAUUCGAACUGGGCAGAGGAAUCGGAGAAGGAUCAUAUCCCAAGGAAUGGGACUUCAUUUUACAAGAUGGAGAUGAUUAAAAUUCAAUUAAUUUCAGCUCAUGGACAUCAUACCGUGGUUGAAGUGGAAGACUUUAGAGAGGCUCAACCUGAUGCUAUUGCACAUUCAGCAGGCAAAAUUUUAUCUCGUCUGAAAGCUGGCGGGGAAAAAAUCUCACAGGCCUUGAAAUCUCUGUGUUGGAGAUGCAAGGGUAUUCAAGUGGAGGUAACACAAAUUUGAUUCUGAAUCCAUUUGGGAAUGUGCUAAAUCUUCUUUGGAUAUGUUUUGCACUGUUUUUGAAAUUAUAUUAUGCCUGAAUUACUUGCAUUCUUACUGCUGCUGUGAUUUUGGAAUUGGGAAAUUCAUUUUUGAACAUAUCAGUGCCCCCUUUCUCUCUUGCUCCUUUUUCCUCCUCUGUGUACACUUUUGAUUUUCUUGAAAACACUUUAGAGUUUUGGAAAAAGAUUGUUUGUAUUAAAUUUUUCCCUUAUGUCCAAUUAAAUUUUGUUCCAAUCCUUUAGACAUGGGAUAUAUUUCAGUUGAUGUUUUAGUUAAUCGGUUCUUCUUGUCAUUUUUCAUAGGAGGCAGCGCUUAUUGGUGUAGAUUCCCUUGGUUUUGAUUUGAGGGUUUGCUCUGGAACACAAAUUCAAACGUUGCGGUUUGCAUUUAAUUCACG